rnacentral:rRNA from 1 species
GCUGACAGCUAUGAGCUUUUUGUGCUACUGGCUAACUUAGUGGCGGACGGGUGAGUAACACGUAGGUAACCUGCCCUGAAGUGGGGGACAACCCAGGGAAACUUGGGCUAAUACCGCAUAGGACCACGAUCUGAAAUGAUUGGGGUAAAAGCAGCAAUGCACUUCAGGAGGGGCCUGCGGCCUAUCAGGUAGUUGGUAAGGUAAUGGCUUACCAAGCCUAAGACGGGUAGCCGGACUGAGAGGUUGAACGGCCACACUGGAACUGAGACACGGUCCAGACUCCUACGGGAGGCAGCAGUGGGGAAUUUUGCGCAAUGGGCGAAAGCCUGACGCAGCGACGCCGCGUGGAGGAUGAAGGUCUUCGGAUUGUAAACUCCUUUUGUCGGGGAAGAUAAUGACGGUACCCGAUGAAUAAGCCACGGCUAACUCUGUGCCAGCAGCCGCGGUAAGACAGAGGUGGCAAGCGUUGUUCGGAAUUACUGGGCUUAAAGGGCGCGUAGCGGUGGAGUAAGUCUGAGGUGGAAGAUUAGGGCCUAACCCUAAAAUUGCCUUGAAACUGCAUCACUUGAGUCAGCGAGGGGAUGGCGGUCCGGUGUAGCGGUGAAAUGCGUAAUUCUGGAGAUGGCGAGGCCAUCUGGCGCUGAACUGAC